rnacentral:rRNA from 1 species
AUUGAACGCUGGCGGCAGGCCUAACACAUGCAAGUCGAGCGGAGCGGCGGACGGGUGAGUAAUUCCUAGGAAUCUGCCUGGUCGUGGGGGAUAACGUCCGGAAACGGGCGCUAAUACCGCAUACUCUCAGUUGAGCCUAGGUCGGCUUGGCUAGUUGGUGGGUUAAGGGCCUACCAAGGCGACGAUCCGUAGCUGGUCUGAGAGGAUGAUAAGGCACACGGGAACUGAGACACGGGCCAGACUCCUACGGGAGGCAGCAGUGGGGAAUAUUGGACAAUGGGCGAAAGCCUGAUCCAGCCAUGCCGCGGGUGUGAAGAAGGUCUUCGGGUUGUAAAGUACUUUAAGUUGGGAGGCGUUACCAACAGAAGAAGCACCGGCUAACUUCGUGCCAGCAGCCGCGGUAAUUC